rnacentral:rRNA from 1 species
UACAGAGGGGGCAAGCGUUAUUCGGAAUUAUUGGGCGUAAAGGGCGCGUAGGCGGCUUUUCAAGUGACGGGUGAAAUCCCUCGGCUUAACCGAGGAACUGCCUGUCAGACUGGAAGGCUUGAGACCGGGAGAGGUGAGUGGAAUUCCGAGUGUAGAGGUGAAAUUCGUAGAUAUUCGGAAGAACACCAGUGGCGAAGGCGACUCGCUGGACAAGUAUUGACGCUGAGGUGCGAAAGCGUGGGGAGCAAACAGG